AAAGUCGUAACAAGGUAACCGUAGGUGAACCUGCGGUUGGAUCAUUAACAAAAAAAAAUUGGAAAGCUUUUUUGAAUACUCUUCGGAAAAGCUUUUUAAAACACCAAUUGUGAACUUGUAUUAUUGUUUCUUUUCUGUGGUAUUUCAAAAGACUGGUUUGCCGCUAGUUUUUUGAUGCCCAGAAAAAACUUUUUUAAACUUAAAGAUUAUACCAUUUUGACCAUUAAAUAAAAGUUUGAAAUUUUUUUUAAACAUUAAAUAAAUUAAAAAAACAACUUUUGGCAACGGAUCUCUAGGCUCUU
rnacentral:misc_RNA from 1 species